rnacentral:rRNA from 1 species
AGAUUAAGUUAUUAAGGGCGCACGGUGGAUGCCUUGGCACUAGAAGCCGAUGAAGGACGUUACUAACGACGAUAUGCUUUGGGGAGCUGUAAGUAAGCUUUGAUCCAGAGAUUUCCGAAUGGGGAAACCCAGCAUGAGUUAUGUCAUGUUAUCGAUAUGUGAAUACAUAGCAUAUCAGAAGGCACACCCGGAGAACUGAAACAUCUUAGUACCCGGAGGAAGAGAAAGAAAAUUCGAUUCCCUUAGUAGCGGCGAGCGAAACGGGAAGAGCCCAAACCAACAAGCUUGCUUGUUGGGGUUGUAGGACACUCUAUACGGAGUUACAAAGGACGACAUUAGACGAAUCAUCUGGAAAGAUGAAUCAAAGAAGGUAAUAAUCCUGUAGUCGAAAAUGUUGUCUCUCUUGAGUGGAUCCUGAGUACGACGGAGCACGUGAAAUUCCGUCGGAAUCUGGGAGGACCAUCUCCUAAGGCUAAAUACUCUCUAGUGACCGAUAGUGAACCAGUACCGUGAGGGAAAGGUGAAAAGCACCCCGGAAGGGGAGUGAAAUAGAACCUGAAACCGUGUGCUUACAAGUAGUCAGAGCCCGUUAAUGGGUGAUGGCGUGCCUUUUGUAGAAUGAACCGGCGAGUUACGAUUUGAUGCAAGGUUAAGCAGUAAAUGUGGAGCCGUAGCGAAAGCGAGUCUGAAUAGGGCGUUUAGUAUUUGGUCGUAGACCCGAAACCAGGUGAUCUACCCUUGGUCAGGUUGAAGUUCAGGUAACACUGAAUGGAGGACCGAACCGACUUACGUUGAAAAGUGAGCGGAUGAACUGAGGGUAGCGGAGAAAUUCCAAUCGAACCUGGAGAUAGCUGGUUCUCUCCGAAAUAGCUUUAGGGCUAGCCUCAAGUGAUGAUUAUUGGAGGUAGAGCACUGUUUGGACGAGGGGCCCCUCUCGGGUUACCGAAUUCAGACAAACUCCGAAUGCCAAUUAAUUUAACUUGGGAGUCAGAACAUGGGUGAUAAGGUCCGUGUUCGAAAGGGAAACAGCCCAGACCACCAGCUAAGGUCCCAAAAUAUAUGUUAAGUGGAAAAGGAUGUGGCGUUGCCCAGACAACUAGGAUGUUGGCUUAGAAGCAGCCAUCAUUUAAAGAGUGCGUAAUAGCUCACUAGUCGAGUGACACUGCGCCGAAAAUGUACCGGGGCUAAACAUAUUACCGAAGCUGUGGAUUGUCCUUUGGACAAUGGUAGGAGAGCGUUCUAAGGGCGUUGAAGCAUGAUCGUAAGGACAUGUGGAGCGCUUAGAAGUGAGAAUGCCGGUGUGAGUAGCGAAAGACGGGUGAGAAUCCCGUCCACCGAUUGACUAAGGUUUCCAGAGGAAGGCUCGUCCGCUCUGGGUUAGUCGGGUCCUAAGCUGAGGCCGACAGGCGUAGGCGAUGGAUAACAGGUUGAUAUUCCUGUACCACCUAUAAUCGUUUUAAUCGAUGGGGGGACGCAGUAGGAUAGGCGAAGCGUGCGAUUGGAUUGCACGUCUAAGCAGUAAGGCUGAGUAUUAGGCAAAUCCGGUACUCGUUAAGGCUGAGCUGUGAUGGGGAGAAGACAUUGUGUCUUCGAGUCGUUGAUUUCACACUGCCGAGAAAAGCCUCUAGAUAGAAAAUAGGUGCCCGUACCGCAAACCGACACAGGUAGUCAAGAUGAGAAUUCUAAGGUGAGCGAGCGAACUCUCGUUAAGGAACUCGGCAAAAUGACCCCGUAACUUCGGGAGAAGGGGUGCUCUUUAGGGUUAACGCCCAGAAGAGCCGCAGUGAAUAGGCCCAAGCGACUGUUUAUCAAAAACACAGGUCUCUGCUAAACCGUAAGGUGAUGUAUAGGGGCUGACGCCUGCCCGGUGCUGGAAGGUUAAGAGGAGUGGUUAGCUUCUGCGAAGCUACGAAUCGAAGCCCCAGUAAACGGCGGCCGUAACUAUAACGGUCCUAAGGUAGCGAAAUUCCUUGUCGGGUAAGUUCCGACCCGCACGAAAGGCGUAACGAUUUGGGCACUGUCUCAACGAGAGACUCGGUGAAAUCAUAGUACCUGUGAAGAUGCAGGUUACCCGCGACAGGACGGAAAGACCCCGUGGAGCUUUACUGUAGCCUGAUAUUGAAAUUCGGCACAGCUUGUACAGGAUAGGUAGGAGCCUUUGAAACGUGAGCGCUAGCUUACGUGGAGGCGCUGGUGGGAUACUACCCUAGCUGUGUUGGCUUUCUAACCCGCACCACUUAUCGUGGUGGGAGACAGUGUCAGGCGGGCAGUUUGACUGGGGCGGUCGCCUCCUAAAAGGUAACGGAGGCGCUCAAAGGUUCCCUCAGAAUGGUUGGAAAUCAUUCAUAGAGUGUAAAGGCAUAAGGGAGCUUGACUGCGAGACCUACAAGUCGAGCAGGGUCGAAAGACGGACUUAGUGAUCCGGUGGUUCCGCAUGGAAGGGCCAUCGCUCAACGGAUAAAAGCUACCCCGGGGAUAACAGGCUUAUCUCCCCAAGAGUUCACAUCGACGGGGAGGUUUGGCACCUCGAUGUCGGCUCAUCGCAUCCUGGGGCUGUAGUCGGUCCCAAGGGUUGGGCUGUUCGCCCAUUAAAGCGGUACGCGAGCUGGGUUCAGAACGUCGUGAGACAGUUCGGUCCCUAUCCGUCGUGGGCGUAGGAAAUUUGAGAGGAGCUGUCCUUAGUACGAGAGGACCGGGAUGGACAUACCUCUGGUGUACCAGUUGUCGUGCCAACGGCAUAGCUGGGUAGCUAUGUGUGGACGGGAUAAGUGCUGAAAGCAUCUAAGCAUGAAGCCCCCCUCAAGAUGAGAUUUCCCAACUUCGGUUAUAAGAUCCCUCAAAGAUGAUGAGGUUAAUAGGUUCGAGGUGGAAGCAUGGUGACAUGUGGAGCUGACGAAUACUAAUCGAUCGAAGACUUAAUCAAAUU